CCGCAUGGGGAUAUUUGCUAAAGAUUCAUCGCUGAUAGAUAGGCAUGCGUUCCAUUAGGCAGUUGGCGGGGUAACGGCCCACCAAACCGACGAUGGAUAGGGGUUCUGAGAGGAAGGUCCCCCACAUUGGUACUGAGACACGGACCAAACUCCUACGGGAGGCAGCAGUGAGGAAUAUUGGUCAAUGGGCGUAAGCCUGAACCAGCCAAGUCGCGUGAGGGAUGAAGGUUCUAUGGAUCGUAAACCUCUUUUAUAAGGGAAUAAAGUGUGGGACGUGUCCUGUUUUGUAUGUACCUUAUGAAUAAGGAUCGGCUAACUCCGUGCCAGCAGCCGCGGUAAUACGGAGGAUCCGAGCGUUAUCCGGAUUUAUUGGGUUUAAAGGGUGCGUAGGCGGCCUUUUAAGUCAGCGGUGAAAGUCUGUGGCUCAACCAUAGAAUUGCCGUUGAAACUGGGAGGCUUGAGUAUGUUUGAGGCAGGCGGAAUGCGUGGUGUAGCGGUGAAAUGCUUAGAUAUCACGCAGAACCCCGAUUGCGAAGGCAGCCUGCCAAGCCAUGACUGACGCUGAUGCACGAAAGCGUGGGGAUCAAACAGGAUUAGAUACCCUGGUAGUCCACGCAGUAAACGAUGAUCACUAGCUGUUUGCGAUACAGUGUAAGCGGGUCAG
rnacentral:rRNA from 1 species